AACGCGAAGAACCUUACCUGGGCUCGAACGGCUUUGGAACAUCCUUGGAAACAGGGACUUCCCGCAAGGGACCGGAGUCGAGGUGCUGCAUGGCUGUCGUCAGCUCGUGUCGUGAGAUGUUGGGUUAAGUCCCGCAACGAGCGCAACCCUUGUCCUGUGUUGGCAUGCCGCAAGGCGCAACUCGCAGGAGACCGCCAGCGAUAAGCUGGAGGAAGGUGGGGAUGACGUCAAGUCAUCAUGGCCUUUAUGUCCAGGGCCACACACGUGCUACAAUGGGCGGUACAAAGCGCUGCCAACCCGCGAGGGGGAGCUAAUCGCCAAAAAACCGUCCUCAGUUCGGAUCGCAGGCUGCAACUCGCCUGCGUGAAGCUGGAAUCGCUAGUAAUGCUAUAUCAGAACGAUAGCGUGAAUACGUUCCCGGGCCUUGUA
rnacentral:rRNA from 1 species